AUACGGAGGGUGCGAGCGUUAAUCGGAAUUACUGGGCGUAAAGCGCGCGUAGGCGGUUGCGUAAGUCGGAUGUGAAAGCCCAGGGCUCAACCCUGGAAUUGCAUUCGAUACUGCAGAGCUAGAGUAUAGUAGAGGGAAGUGGAAUUCCGGGUGUAGCGGUGAAAUGCGUAGAUAUCCGGAGGAACACCAGUGGCGAAGGCGGCUUCCUGGACUAAUACUGACACUGAGGUACGAAAGUGUGGGGAGCAAACAGGAUUAGAAACCCCGGUAGUCC
rnacentral:rRNA from 1 species